rnacentral:lncRNA from 1 species
AGACAAAUCAUAUUAUGUAUGAAAUCAUCUCAGCCAAAAAAUUCUGUAAACAAAAAUGACGGUGAAAAACUGACUCGAGUUUGACACAGACAAUAGACCAGAUGAAAACUAAUAGUAACUAAAGACCACAUAUGUUAUCGUGAGGAUUGCAAUCUAAGGAUGGCAAUCAUGAACCAUCAGGUUGAGACUGGGAGUACGGAGUUGCUUGUGGAGUUGCUUGAGCCCUCAAGAGAAAAUCAAGCAUAUUAUUCGUCUCCUUUUGCUUCUUUACCCAGGCUUCAUUCUUCUCUUCCAGGCUGUUCUUUAGAGCUUCCAAUUCUUCUUGCUGCUUCUUUUGUAUCUUUUCAAAUACUCUCUCUUGUGCUUCAAGUCUUGCGGCUAACUCCUCCCGAUGCCUAUAAAUGACAAAAGACAACAACGUUGCAUCGCAAUGAGACGAAAACAGCCAAGAUAACAAGGUACAAGGGAAACAAUUUGAAAUAGAGAAGUACAUUAUUAAAUGUCAAGGCAAGCAUGCCGAUGGGCUAAUGAAACAGUAAAGCCAAGAAUAACUUAUAAUGUUUUAAAAUAUGCAUAACAAAGAGCUUGAUUACUGGAAGCAUCAGCAAAAGGAUAUCAAGUCAAUAACCCAGGUUAAAAGAUGCACUCCUUAAUUGAAAUUCCGCUCACUGCAAUGAGUGCACUAUGCACAGAGAAGCAAGCAAAAAGAAACAACAAGAAUAGAAAGGGAAAUAAGAUAAUUACCUGUCAUUCGCAUCUCUUGCCUCUCUAUCCUUUUGUUCAAUUCUUUCAUCUAGAACUCGGAUUCGGGCUGAUGAAGUAGAGCUCCCAUACCUCUCGGAUCUAGAUGCAUACCCCAUGCUGGAAAGGAAGGUGCUAUGGGUGCUUUCUUCCUUUAGAACUUCAGCCACAAUUGAUGUAUCGGAUACUGGCUGCCCACGUUCUGAUUGUGUUUCCCUUUUCUCUUCAAUCGCAUUCUGUAGUAUAAAGAAAAACAUUGAUGCUAAGGCAAAGUUCAUAUGCUAGCAAUAUGAGAAUCUAUUUCAGGUCAGAAACAAAUGGACGAAGAAAUCUUACAUGAGCUAGAAGUGCCGACUCGCUCAUGCUACCAGUCUUGCUGUUUGUAUGGGUGUCUUUGAAAAACUCAAUUGGACUUGGGUCCUGAUUAUUGUACUUCUCUUUUUUCUACAAGAUAUAUGAAAUUGCAACAUUACUACUACAUAUAUAUUGGCCAGAUGCAAUAUACAUAGGACUACAAGAUAUUUGGGAUUCUUACAAGUUUACUGAAAUAGGCAACAUAAGACAUACAUCCAGUCUUUUGGUGAUGCUUGACAACUUCUUGGUUUUCCUUAUUCAUUUGACAUAUUUUCUAUAUAAAGAAAAUGUAUAUAAGUAUUUACAUAUGGUACAAUAGAUGUGAAUGCAAAAACUAUUGUUGGUCUCGCGUGUCUUGUUACAAACCUUGUUUGUUCCAUCAGACCAUUUAUUGACAAGGCUGGUCCAAUUCUCAUGAGUAAUGUUUAGUGGCUUAUUUGAUAAUGCUUCCUGAUCAGUAUAACCAUUGAAGUAUUUCUUCUUUAGCCUGUAGCGUUGUUGUCGAACACCCUUCUGGAUUACUUUUGUGCAUACAUCAUUCCCAACCUUGUCAUCCUUUUCCAUCUCAAAGUUAAUCUGAAAUACCAUUCAUAUAUAGGAUAUAUCAUUAAAUUGACUAUGCAACAUGUGAACACAUGAAUGAAAAUGAAGGAAACUAUCCCACCGCAAUAUCUUUAAUAGCAUGGGGAAUAACAUGUUUGAGUGGGCUUUUGGCAUAGUCAUUCCAGUGUGUAGCAACGUGCAUUUUGCUCCUGAUGUGAAUACGACACUCAGAAGAAAGCUUUGCUACUUGGACUGGGUCAGUAGGUCUCACUUUCCCUGCUAUAAAAUCAAUGUGCAUCUUCCUCCCUCCAUUUCUGUUUGCAUACUCCUAAAGCCCAUGCCCCAUGGUUGGUCUACAUCGACGACCUCUCCUUGAUGGUCGUGGAUCAGUUGGACCAGUGGAGCAUGCUAAUGCAUCUACAUUACAAGCUGGCAGAUAAAUUAGAAGGUUAUAAUUUCAAGUGGAAAAUAGAUGGAGUGAAGCAAUGAUGUUGCAUAUACCUUGGCCUUGUAACGUAAUCAUGUUAUCUGAUUGUACGGAUGUGCCUAUCAUGUCUUGAGAACGUUGUACCCCUGAAUCAGCGUCGGGCGAGUUGCUAUUCUUAGAAGUUAGGUGAGGUGAUGUGUUUGUUGGAUUUGGUGCAGACUGUUCUUGAUUGUUUGUAGCUUCAACUGACUCAGUUGUCUCUAGAUCUUGUUAUUCUUGAGGUAGCAGCUGCACUAUUUUUGGAACAAGUGAGUUAAACAAGGCAGUUAAUCAACACAAACUUAUGCAAUGUCACCACAGGUUCAAUAGGAAUGCAGUGAACAGAGAUAUCAUCAUCUAGAUUAAUUACGAAAAGUAGAGGGACAGAAUAUGUGAAUCAAUCUUUGAGUCAAUUAUUUGCGAUCCUUAUAGUGCAUAGUGACAUACACAUGAUACAAGCAAGGCGAAAUUAAAGCCAGUGAAUCCACAUUGUACAUAUUUUGGAGGGUUGCAGAACAGAUCGAAAUAAAUACAUACUUGGAAAUAUGGAGCAUCCAGAAUUCAGUUAACAAGAACAAGUGCAGACUCAGCCUUUAUUCAGUUUUGAACAAGUUUAGACUCGGUCUUUAUUCAGUAUUGGACAAGAACAAGUGCAGACUUAGUAUUUAUCGAGAAUCCAAAAUAAAGAACAUACACUGUGAACUCCAUGUGGUAAUAUAUUGUAUCAAGAACAAGUGCAGACUCGACAUUUAAUCAGUUUGGAACAAGUUUAGACUCGGUCUUUAUUCAGUAUUGAACAAGAACAAGUGCAGACUUAGUAUUUAUCGAGAAUCCAAAAUAAAGAACAUACAUUGUGAACUCCAUGUGGUAAUAAUAAUAUAUUGUAUCAAGAACAAGUGCAGGCUCGGCAUUUAUUCAGUUUGGAACAAGUUUAGGCUCAGUCUUUAUUCAGUAUUGAACAAGAACAAGUGCAGACUUAGUCUUUACGAGAAUUCGAUAUAAAGAAUAUACACUGUGAACUCCAUAUGGUAAUAUAUAGUAUCAAGAACAAGUGCAGACAUUGGAAGCCACAUGGUCGUUGAAUUUUAGGAAAUCUCACGACAUCUGAAUAAAGACCGAGCAGAGAAACUGGAUUUGCGUUGUAUUCAGAGAUAUAAAUAAAUCUCACGACCGUGUGUGCUUUUCUCCCACAAAUCCCUUCCAUGGUGAUCCCUUAUGUCUAGAGCUUGCGGGAUGAGGAGGGCGGGAUGAGAAAAUUACCGUCAGCCAUCACUGCUUGGUGUAAUCGGUGGGGAAAGAGAGCCGGGUGGGGCGGCCUCCUCCAAUCCGCUAUAGCUGGUUGAUGUAGUGGAUCCGAGUUCGGCCGGUCGGGCGGCCUCCUCCAAUCUGCGGUCGCCGGUCACUGCAAUCAGGGGAGGGGGCGGAUAGAGCGGAGUGCUCGCGAGGAUGGUUGUGUAGUGGAUCCGAGCUCGGCGGGCGGGUGGCCACCCCCAAUCUGCCGGCCUGAUCGCCGCAGUCGUGGGAUAGGAGAGUCGAUUGAUUCUGACGAAACAAUGCCGGGGUGGGCGAUGUCUUUUAGUGGUGCCUCUUCGCGGGCGAAAUAGAAGGAUAAAUUAUGGCUGGGUGUUGGACGGGUGAGGACACUGGGUGAAUGCGGAAAAAAAACUGGAAGGAAAAUGUAUUUUUUACGAGGAGAUGGUUUAUUUUCAGAAUUUAAUUUCCUCUUAACAUUAUGUAAUCCAUUUAAUUCGAAAUAAGUAGAAAAUGAUUAUUAAAAAGUAAACCUUACAUGAACAUUAUGAUAUUGUAUUUUCAGUGUUCUUUUUGGGGAGAAUUGUAAAUAAAUAUGUUGAAAGUUGUACAGAGGGGUCUUAAGUAUGUGAUCUGAAAAAAUACAAAAUGCAAAUGAGUGAUUAUUUUAACUGCUUGUGUAAGGUAACUUGGGAUGAUGGUUUUCAACGUUGAUUGUUUCAUAGUCCGAAUAUACUCAUGUGCAUAGCCCCCAACCUCCCAGCGUAAGCGAUCUAGGCCUAGGCGUAUGGUCCAAGAAGAUACAAAUAAAUAUCCUUUAGCACAAUUUAUAUAGCAGCCAGACUCUUUCCUAGUGGCAACGCUGUUGGUGCAGACCAUGGUCGUCGCCGGUUCAAACUCCUUGACCAAGCUUUUUUGCAUCGAAUCUCCUGUUUUAAUUUUAGUCUUUUAGAUAGAAUGAAACAACAUCACUUCACGAGCGCUCCAUUCAAGUUUUUUUUGCCCAGCAAUUACAUGUUUAUAGAAAACAAAAUAGAUAAGAUUACCCAUGGACUCUCCUAUUUCCAUUUUAAUUUUUGCGAUAGAACGAAACAACAUUAGCUCACAAGCGCCCAAUUGAAGUUUUUGACAUAGCCCACUACCUUCUUAUUCUAGAUAUAAGAACAAAAUAACAGUGUUAAAAAUAUUUUCUCCUAUUACCAAUUCACUCCCUUAUAUCCAUUUUUAUUUUUUAGAUAAACAACAUCAGCUCAUGAAGCCUGAUUACAUUUUUUUGUCGAGCCACUACCUAUUUAUAUUAGAAAGAACAAAAUAACCAUCUAAAAAAGACAAGGUUUUCCCUUUAUAAAAAAAUAAUUAUAAGUAUUUCCAUGGCCACUACCUACUUAUAUUACAUAGAACAAAAUAAUUAAAACGCCCAAUAGCCGUUGAAAUUUUAUGUCGGGUCCCACCGCCAAAACCGACGCACGUGUCCUUCCACUCAAUAACUGUGAACUAGCUAUGGCGGGUCCCACUACUAGACGCGACAUUACAAAAAAUUAAUCGUCACACAUAUGUAGUAUUCGGUGACUAGCAAGUUUGUCAUGCAAAAUACCAAGCCGUCACAGAAAUUGGCAGCCAAGUGUGCUCGCGGGCUAAGGCAUUUCAGUGACGUUUAUCGUCACCGACUUACGGUAAUCGGUGAUGCCACCUAUGAGAGCGUCACACAUUAGGAAUUUAGGUGACGUUGUCCACCAUUGUCACGAGGAUUUUCAUCACGGUAUGUCAAUUUUGUUAGUGCUUUUAGACACUACAAGAGAUCGAGCCUACUAUGACGAGCUAAUAAAUGUCAUCGAAUAGCUAAUAACGUCACAAAUUACCCCUUGGUGACAUUUUAUGGGCGUCACAAGCAUCGUCACAGAAUCCCCGUCACAGAUUACUCCAUGGACGGCGCACUCGCAAAAACGUCAUUGAAAUUGGGACCUUCGGUGACAUUAUAUAGAACGUCAUCGACUUGCUAUUUCCAUGACAGUCAACUAAUGUCACAUGUUAGGAGAAAAUAUGCCAUAUUGUACCAUAUUCAGUGAAGAGACAACGUCACUAACUUUAUGCCACAUGAACACUCGAGCGGCUAUCCCACUAGUAGUGCCACUACUUUUAUCAUGGAUGAAGAUGACAUCAUCAAAAUAUAUUUACUUUCUUUCGAAUCUAGAUUACGAUGAAAAUAAGUAUUUAAUUCACAUCACAUCAGAAAUUGAUAUGAAAGACAAAUCAUAUUAUGUAUGAAAUCGUCUCAGCCAAAAAAUUCUGUAAACAAAAAUGACGGUGAAAACUGACUCGAGUUUGACACAGACAAUAGACCAGAUGAAAACUAAUAGUAACUAAAGACCACAUAUGUUAUCGUGAGGAUUGCAAUCUAAGGAUGGUAAUCAUGAACCAUCAGGUUGAGACUGGGAGUACGGAG